UGGGGGAUAUUGCACAAUGGAGGAAACUCUGAUGCAGCGACGCCGCGUGAGUGAAGAAGUAUUUCGGUAUGUAAAGCUCUAUCAGCAGGGAAGAUAAUGACAGUACCUGACUAAGAAGCCCCGGCUAAUUACGUGCCAGCAGCCGCGGUAAUACGUAGGGGGCAAGCGUUAUCCGGAUUUACUGGGUGUAAAGGGAGCGUAGACGGAACGGCAAGUUUGAAGUGAAAUACCCGGGCUUAACCCGGGAACUGCUUUGAAAACUGUCGAUCUAGAGUGUCGGAGAGGUAAGUGGAAUUCCUGGUGUAGUAGUGAAAUGCGUAGAUAUCAGGAAGAACACCG
rnacentral:rRNA from 1 species